rnacentral:rRNA from 1 species
AUUGAACGCUAGCGGGAUGCUUUACACAUGCAAGUCGAACGAGUGGCGGACGGGUGAGUAAUAUAUCGGAACGUGCCCAGUAGCGGUGGAUAACUACUCGAAAGAGUGGCUAAUACCGCAUACUAUUGUCUCGGCCGUUAUCUGAUUAGCUAGUUGGUGGGGUAAAGGCUCACCAAGGAAACGAUCCGUAGCUGGUUUGAGAGGACGACCAGACAAACUGGGACUGAGAAACGGGCCAGACGCCUACGGGAGGCAGCAGUGGGGAAUUUUGGACAAGGGGAGAAACCCUGAUCAAGCCAUCCGGCGUGUAUGAGAAGGCCUUCGGGUUGUAAAGUACUUUUGGCAGAGAAGCGGUAUCUGCAGAAUAAGCACCGGCUAACUACGUGCCAGCCGCCGCGGUAAUAC